GGGGAUGUUCCGGAAUUCGACUUUGGGUUGUAGAUUAUGCUUGCACGUCGGAGACGACACUUGGCUCCGUAAAAAUGUGUCAAACAAAACAAUAAAUGGCGAAGAAUACGCUAUCGCUGCUUAAUUAAGCGGCGCGUCGGCUCUCAGACCCCCGAUAUGGGAAGCCCGGCGUCGACAUCGGGGACAGGGGUAAUCGUCGUGCAUACGGGGCGGUUGCCGCCACUUACCGCAAGCUGCCGAAACGGAGGAAGUCCCGACCGAACCGUUCCGAAAGACCAACCGGAGACUAAACGUGUAGACGGUAUAACCGAAAGCUCUCAGGACGCGGGUUCGACUCCCGCCAUCUCCACCA
rnacentral:tmRNA from 1 species